AAUAGAAGUCUAUGGAGAAAUGAGCCACUUCUCACUUGAUUUAUUACCUCAGUAAACAUCUUCAUAGUGAGUUUAUGGUCUCGAUCGCUAGUUCUAAGUAUUCUGCAAUACAGAAUGAUAUUCAUUUUUGAAAUUACGUUCUCGUUGAUUUUAAAAUAGGCGAUAAAGCCGGGGGUGUUUUAGGGCGUGGCUAUGAUGUGAUUGACAGUUCUCGGCCUGUCAAUCAUGACAGAGUGUUAGCAAAGCUUGUCCAUGGCACGUAAACUUCAUUUUGGGGAUUUACUACGUUCCAUCGCUGUGGCUGUGACACUUUGGUCGGAUAAUAAUGUCUUGUUCAGCGGUCGGUUGCACGGCAAGACACUCAAAGGAAUCGGCAGUUCAGUUUUUCCGACUUCCUUUUGAUGAGGCCAGGCUGAAGCAAUGGUUGGUGAACAUGAGGAGAGAGAGACCAGCAAAUGGAACCACGAAAAGUCACGUCUGCAGUUCACACUUUGAGGAAGAUCAGUUUUUUAGAGACAAUCAGGUAUCCGCACUGAAAACUGAAAGAGCAGAGCCUCCAGAAGGAAGACCUGGUGUAUAGAGCGGCGUAUUUGGUGCCAUUUCAUCUGGAU